rnacentral:rRNA from 1 species
GACGAACCGUGCGAACGUUGUUCGGAAUCACUGGGCUUAAAGGGCGCGUAGGCGGGUCGCCAGUCUGUGGUGAAAUCCCCCGGCUUAACCGGGGAACGGCCGCGGAUACUGCCGACCUCGAGGGGGGUAGGGGCGUGCGGACACUAGGUGGAGCGGUGAAAUGCGUUGAUAUCUAGUGGAACUCCGGUGGCGAAGGCGGCGCGCUGGACCCCCUUCUGACGGCUGAGGCGCGAAAAGCCCAGGGGGA